AUUCGGAGAGAGGAAAAGAGAGGAAGGGCGUAUCUUUAUACUUCAGCGCCCCAGGAGCUGCCAGUUCUCCAUGAUGACCUGCAACGCACAGUGGGUGACUGUCACACCAGUGUAGUGAGAAGAAAACGCCCUCCUGGCCCCUUCACGUGGCCUUCCCCUGACAAGUCAGCAGGUCUGGGACCUGGGAGAAAGGUCUGCAGGAAAGGCAAACAUCUGGGACCAGGGGUAAGGCCACGUCCUUUUUCAGAGUGUGAAUCUGGUAUAGUGGUGGGCACAACAGUGGUGGGGGAGCAAUCUCUGUUACCUUUCUACAUUUUUCUUUCUCAUUUUAUACAGAGAACUGUAUCUUGUCUUGUCCUUCUUUUGUAAUCCCCAGUUUUAGUACCCUCCUCCCUUAUAUGAAGAGGCACAAGUAUAAAGCCAUAAGUCUAGUACACAUGUAUGUGUGUUAUGUAUGUGCAUACACACACACAAACACAGCUUACACAUAAAAAGUCAUGCUUACAGCACUAUUGUCAUCUUGUCAUAUAUUAGUUAGACAAGGUUAUUUUCAAGGUGUUUUGUUUUGUUUUUAAUAGUAAAACAGUAGUAUUUCUAGGGCUUUAUACCUGAAAUAGCAAAUUUGGGAAUUGAAGAGUACGCCUAUAGUGAUCCAAUACUGUUCUUUUUUUUUUUUUUUUCCACUCAUAGCAGGAAUUCCAGCUAGAAAUCACUCAUUGAAGUUGAUUCAGUGAGAACUGCAGUUCUCUAGUGAAUCACGUACAUCCUCACUAUGCUACAAAAUGUACAUUUUACAUGGAAAAUACUUUGAACAAUAAAUAUUUAGCAGACAGGCA
rnacentral:lncRNA from 1 species